rnacentral:rRNA from 1 species
UGGGGAAUUUUGGACAAUGGGGGAAACCCUGAUCCAGCCAUCCCGCGUGUGCGAUGAAGGCCUUCGGGUUGUAAAGCACUUUUGGCAGGAAAGAAACGUCGCGGGUUAAUACCCCGCGAAACUGACGGUACCUGCAGAAUAAGCACCGGCUAACUACGUGCCAGCAGCCGCGGUAAUACGUAGGGUGCAAGCGUUAAUCGGAAUUACUGGGCGUAAAGCGUGCGCAGGCGGUUCGGAAAGAAAGAUGUGAAAUCCCAGAGCUUAACUUUGGAACUGCAUUUUUAACUACCGGGCUAGAGUGUGUCAGAGGGAGGUGGAAUUCCGCGUGUAGCAGUGAAAUGCGUAGAUAUGCGGAGGAACACCGAUGGCGAAGGCAGCCUCCUGGGAUAACACUGACGCUCAUGCACGAAAGCGUGGGGAGCAAACAGGAUUAGAUACCCUGGUAGUCCACGCCCUAAACGAUGUCAACUAGCUGUUGGGGGCCUUCGGGCCUUGGUAGCGCAGCUAACGCGUGAAGUUGACCGCCUGGGGAGUACGGUCGCAAGAUU